rnacentral:rRNA from 1 species
UACGUAGGGUGCAAGCGUUGUCCGGAAUUAUUGGGCGUAAAGAGCUCGUAGGCGGUCUGUCGCGUCGAAUGUGAAAACCCGGGGCUCAACCCCGGGCCUGCAUUCGAUACGGGCAGACUAGAGUUCGGUAGGGGAGUCUGGAAUUCCUGGUGUAGCGGUGAAAUGCGCAGAUAUCAGGAGGAACACCGGUGGCGAAGGCGGGACUCUGGGCCGUAACUGACGCUGAGGAGCGAAAGCAUGGGGAGCGAACAGG